GACCCAAAAAAAUUACACUUAGCCCAUCAGCCCAAAAAUCUGACCGAUUCAGCCAUUCAACUAUUCAGCUCUAAACAAACACUCACUUGCUCUAAUUCCAGGUUCUAUGACCUUUAAAUCUUCAAAGCAUAAUAAUGUACAUAAUAGUUAUUACAUUUCUUCUAACAAUUACAAAUAGUUCACAAUAUCUUCUACUCGUUCAUCUUCUAUUUCCUUUUGUCCUUACCGGAAUCUUUGAUAUGUUCGGGUUUUGCUGAAAACAUUUAAUUUAAAGCAAGAAUAAGCAUUCAAUUGUUCAACAAGUAUAACAGUUAUAAUAAACAACAAAAUCAAGAAUCAAAUCUUCUUUCUCUAAACUUUUCAACAACUGAACAAUAGUUGUGAAAACAUCUCGAAUAAAUAGGAAUAAUAAUUCCAUUUCAUUUAAACAUUUUUGAAACGACAUACUGAGUAUUCAUGCUGAGCGAUCAUAGGACCAAGAACUUUUUCUUUUCGAAAAGGUUUGACAAUAAUACAACUAUAAUCCAUCCGACUUACGGACACAUCUAUGUUAAGCCUAUAAUACCAUAUGUUGUAAAAUAUUACAUAUUAAACGACUACAUGCGUUUGUUUUGACCGCUUAUUAGGUCUGUCGGAAUAUCCGACUAAAAAUUUCCCAAUAUUAGAGUUGUUCAUCUUAAAAUUUAUCUAAAUCAACAUCGAAACAAUUUGUUUUGGAUAACUCUACAUAACAUAUAUAAUAUUUCAAAGAUUUUUAAUCAAAUCGAUAAAACAUUUCAACAUCUGUCUAGCCGAAACAAAUGACAUCGACAUACUUUUCAAAUAGUUCGUGAAUAACCGAACUUCAAAGCUUUAACAGUUUAUAACAUGACAUCGCUCAACACUUGUACAAAUUCUAAAAGAUUUGUACAAGUUUUAAGAAUUUACACAAUAUAAAAGUAUUACACAAUUUAGAACUUUAUAUUACCAUAAAACAUUCAUAAGAAUAUAAUUGAAUCAAUUUAAAAAAACUUGUAAAAAGUUUGGGGAUACUUGUCUCACGCGUUCUUUAUAAUUUUACGCUAAUUAGCGCUUUAAAUGUUCUACACAUUUAAGUUCACAUUCAUAUGCUAAUUAGUCACAUAUAGACUUCGUAUAUUGGUUUACGUUAUUUUAGUCUUUCGGCGUCGCGACGUUUGGAAAUGACAUGACCCUUAUAACGACCCUCUUUAUUGGUUUACUUUUAUUUUACAUCAUUCUAUAAUGUUUGCCUUUUAUAAUUCGGAACAUUUUAGAUCAUCGUCAAAAACAUUGAACGACGUCGCGACACGGCCCGAUGACACGCCCGUGCAUAGACUAGCGCACAUGCCUUGCUCUCCACUGCCCAUCAACAGCCCACACGCGUCGCGCGCGCUGCCUGGCAGUGCACUGAUUUACAGCUUUGACACACCUACUUCCGAGAUUCAUAACUCGAUCAUCCCAAGUCAGAAUGAGUCCGUUCUAGAGUUAUUUUCUUGCUGAGAUUGCACUUUAUAAAACCCCAGAAAAUUAUAAUUUCCCAGCAACUCUAACUAGUCAAAACAACAAUUCCCCAAAAAUCACCCUUACAUCUUGAUUUUCAAUGUUGUUUCUAGCAUUUACAAUUUUGACGCACCUAUUUCUGAAUAUCAUAACUUACUCAUCUGACAUUGAAAUGAAUUCGUUUUUUGAGCCUACAUCUUUCUUGUUAUACGUACUACACAAUCCCUAGAAAAACAGAAUUUUCCAGAAACUUGAACUACCCAUAAAAAUGGUUAAAAAGUCAGUAGAUACACUAGUUUUCAGUUUUUAACAUACUCUACUAGAAAAAUCGCCAUAGCUUCGUUACGAUGAAUUUUACCCUCUUUUCAAUUGGGUUAUUUUCGUAACUCAUAAGAGCACAACCCAUCAUUACUGAGCUUAAUUUUCAGCUUUAGACCAUUAAUUAUUUCGGUCUCAAAACAGUCCACUAUUAGUCAUUUGCUUGAGUUUACAUUUUUGUUUUUGUUCACUUAUCAUGCAAUUUAUCGAUAGUUUAAACAUAUAUAAACCACCUUAUACCUCCUAGAUUCUUCAUGAUCCACCAUAACCAACAACCACAACCACACAACAAGCAUAAUAAAAGCUUGAAAAGAAAAGGAAUUGGAAACUAAGGUUUAGGUUUACCUUAUUUUUGUUCUUGCUUCUUCUUAUUUAGAUGAUCAAAGCUUAAAGCUUGAUAAGGCUUGAUUGCUCCUCUUCUUCCUUCCUUUUACUCAUCUCUCUCUUUCUCUCUAACUCUCUCUAGCUUUCUUUUCUUACUUAGCAAAAUGAAUUGAAA
rnacentral:lncRNA from 1 species